CCUACGGGUGGCAGCAGUAGGGAAUCUUUCACAAUGGGCGAAAGCCUGAUGGAGCAACGCCGCGUGCAGGAUGAAGGCCUUCGGGUUGUAAACUGCUUUUAUAAGCGAGAAAUAUGAUGGUAACUUAUGAAUAAGGAUCGGCUAACUACGUGCCAGCAGCCGCGGUCAUACGUAGGAUCCGAGCAUUAUCCGGAGUGACUGGGUGUAAAGAGUUGCGUAGGUGGCAUAAUAAGUAGCUAGUGAAAUCUGGUGGCUCAACCAUUCAGACUAUUAGCUAAACUGUUAAGCUCGAGACCGUUAGAGGUAAGUGGAAUUUCUAGUGUAGGAGUGAAAUGCGUAGAUAUUAGAAGGAACACCAAUAGCGUAGGCAGGUUACUGGGACGGUUCUGACACUAAGGCACGAAAGCGUAGGGAGCAAACGGGAUUAGAUACCCGAGUAGUC
rnacentral:rRNA from 1 species